UUUUCCAUAUUUCAAAAAAAAGUACAAAACAAUAGUUAUCAUGGUAAAUUAGUUUAUUCUUCAUCUGUUUACCUUUUUUAUACCUCAAAAAAUGGUUGUCAGGGAGAACAGAGUGUACUGAUAUUAGAUUUACAACAUAACAUGUAAAAUAUUAAGGUAGAGACCGAUAGCAACCACGUGAUCAGUAAAAAUCGUGUAUUUUCACGUGAAAUUAUUUUUCGGAAUUCCGUACAUCGCCAUAGAGUAGUUGAAAAACAAAAAGGGGUUCCGAAAGUACAAGGUGUUGCUGUGACUGAAUCGAUGAUUGAGAGGGUCGUCUCGACGGAAGAUAUAGAAAUUUGGCCAUAGUUUAGAUUAGGAAUACGUCAAUGUAAUAAUAGUGGACUAAAUGUUUCGUCCGUGCAGAAUGGCACUUUUUACCUCACGAAAUUCACCACCAUGCAUAGCUGCGCUACGUAAACAAAGUUGUUAAUGUAGCGUGAUCGUGAUGUCCGAGUGCUGCGAGUUUCAAUACUGUUUAUGUAGUCAUUGAGAGUUUAAACAAAGUUUCUUCUGAGAAGAGGAAUUCGAUGGAUGCAUUCAACGUGGACAACGAAAUCAUAAUUUCGUUUGCAUCAUCCUAAGGACCAGUGCAAGUUGAAAUGGGCUUCCAGCCAACAACUUCAACAGCAAUUUGCCAUGAAAAUCAGCAAGAAAGUUACAAUAUUUUCUAUCUUAGUACUUCAUUUACAUUGAUGAUGUCAUAUCCCCUGGACCCCACAACUUUACAGGUUACAGAGAAAAUUCAAGAACUUCUGCAAAAUGUGGGACUUGGAUAGAAUCAAUAAUGUAUUUGUGAGCCCAGAGCAAUGGAUAUAUUGUGCAACAUACUAAAGUGUGAAUUUAAUGGAAAACAAGUACAUGUACUCAUGUAUUACAUGUCUUUUUUAAAGACAAUAAUAUAUGUAUAAAUAUAGAGGAAGUGUCAUUGUUGAUUAUUCUAAGUUUCUGAUAUAUCAAAAUCAGUAAACAUUUCUAAAUGAAAAUAAAAUACCAAUUUUAUAACUUUAA